UCUGGCGCCAUAAUCGGACAACAGAAAUUUCAGGGUCGCCAUUGCUGAGCAGCAUACUGCACUGAUAAAUACGACCAUGUGCAUGCAUAACAGACAUAGUGGCGAACAGACAACGAUGAAGGCUUCAAGUACAUGUAAGAGGAAGGAGUGAUUUGUUGUGAAAGAUCCUGGAAUGUUCAACUUUACCUGGAAACUAUUGGCAAAGAACUGACAGAAUUUACACGAGAAGCCAGUAUCAUCUUGUCUUGCAAUUGGGAACUAUAUGUAAAGUGCAGAAACUUAAGAACAACAUUAGAAGCCAAGAUCAACAAUACUUGGAACUACAUGUAUAAUCAAAGUACUGGCAGAAUCCAUAUGAGAGAACCCAAGAUCAUCUACACUUAGUGUCUAUAUGCAAAGUGGUGUCAGAAUCCACUUAAGAAGCCAAGAUCAACUAUAAUUUGGAACUAUAUGCUUUAGUGCUGUCAAAAUCCAAGAUCAAAAGGACCUACUUUACCUACCCGUCCCAAUGAUGAAUACAGAUUAUUGAGUCUUAUAAAAAACACUGAUGAAGAAUAUUGAUAUAAAAAUAAUGAAAAUAUAGAGCUGAUCAGCUAAUGAUUGUACAUGUACAUGAUGUACAUGAUGUAUACAUGUCAACAAUUACUAGUAUAUUGAAAUUUACAAUGCUAAUAAAUGUUUUAUAAAUUUGAUCUCAUAGACAUUUUAGGAAUAAAAAUCAAAAAUGUUUCAAAAAAUGAA